rnacentral:rRNA from 11 species
AUCUGGUGCUGAAAUAUCCUGAAGACACUAAAUGCUAUUUGAUCUUGGAAGUAAACAGGCUUAGCUUUGGUUAAUACUUGGAUGGGAGACUGCGAAUGAAUGCCAUGUGCUGUGGGUG